CGUUAGCGGCGGACGGGUGAGUAACACGUGGGUAACCUACCUAUAAGACUGGGAUAACUUCGGGAAACCGGAGCUAAUACCGGAUAAUAUUUCGAACCGCAUGGUUCGAUAGUGAAAGAUGGUUUUGCUAUCACUUAUAGAUGGACCUGCGCCGUAUUAGCUAGUUGGUAAGGUAACGGCUUACCAAGGUGACGAUACGUAGCCGACCUGAGAGGGUGAUCGGCCACACUGGAACUGAGACACGGUCCAGACUCCUACGGGAGGCAGCAGGC
rnacentral:rRNA from 1 species